rnacentral:rRNA from 1 species
GAUCCUGGCUCAGGAUGAACGCUAGCGACAGGCUUAACACAUGCAAGUCGAGGGGCAGCGGGGGUAGCGAUACCCGCCGGCGACCGGCGCACGGGUGAGUAACGCGUAUGCAACUUGCCUAUCAGAGGGGGGAUAACCCCGGCGAAAGUCGGACUAAUACCGCAUGAAGCAGGGAUCCCGCAUGGGAAUAUUUGCUAAAGAUUCAUCGCUGAUAGAUAGGCAUGCGUUCCAUUAGG